UACGUAGGUGGCAAGCGUUGUCCGGAUUUACUGGGCGUAAAGGGCGCGUAGGCGGUUCGUACAGUCAGACGUGAAAUUCCUGGGCUCAACCUGGGGGCUGCGUUUGAUACGUACGGACUUGAGUGCGGAAGAGGGUCGUGGAAUUCCCAGUGUAGAGGUGAAAUUCGUAGAUAUUGGGAAGAACACCGGUGGCGAAGGCGGCGACCUGGUCCGAUACUGACGCUGAGGCGCGAAAGCGUGGGGAGCAAACAGG
rnacentral:rRNA from 1 species